CCUACGGGGGGCAGCAGUGAGGAAUAUUGGUCAAUGGACGAGAGUCUGAACCAGCCAAGUAGCGUGAAGGAUGACUGCCCUAUGGGUUGUAAACUUCUUUUAUAAAGGAAUAAAACGAGGCACGGGUGCCUUUUUGAAUGUACUUUAUGAAUAAGGAUCGGCUAACUCCGUGCCAGCAGCCGCGGUAAUAAGGAGGAUCCGAGCGUUAUCCGUAUUUAUUGGGUUUAAAGGGAGCGUAGAUGGGUUGUUAAGUCAGUUGUGAAAGUUUGCGGCUCAACCGUAAAAUUGCAAUUGAUACUGGCAGUCUUGAGUACAGUUGAGGUAGGCGGAAUUCGUGGUGUAGCGGUGAAAUGCUUAGAGAUCACGAAGAACCCCGAUUGCGAAGGCAGCUUACUAAACUGUGACUGACAUUGAUGCUCGAAAGUGUGGGUAUCAAACAGGAUUAGAUACCCCAGUAGUC
rnacentral:rRNA from 1 species